rnacentral:rRNA from 1 species
GAAUGAACGCUGGCGGCGCGCCUAAUACAUGCAAGUCGAGCGAGAAGACGUAGCAAUACGUUUGUAAAGCGGCGAACGGGUGAGGAAUACAUGGGUAACCUACCCUCGAGUGGGAAUAACUAGCCGAGAGGUUAGCUAAUACCGCGUACGCUUCUUGGACUUCGGUUCAGGGAGGAAAGCGAUGCCGAGGGUAUCGCGCUCUUGGAUGGGCUCAUGUCCUAUCAGCUUGNGGUGAGGUAACGGCUCACCAAGGCUUCGACGGGUAGCUGGUCUGAGAGGACGAUCAGCCACACUGGCACUGCGACACGGGCCAGACUCCUACGGGAGGCAGCAGUAAGGAUAUUGCGCAAUGGGCGAAAGCCUGACGCAGCGACGCCGCGUGGGGGAU